rnacentral:misc_RNA from 1 species
GAUGAAGAACGUAGCGAAAUGUGAUAAGUAAUGUGAAUUGCAGAAUUCAGUGAAUCAUCGAAUCUUUGAACGCACCUUGCGCUCUCUGGUAUUCCGGAGAGCAUGUCUGUUUGAGUGUCAUGAACUCUUCAACCUACCGGUUUCUAGUAAAUCGGAUCAGUGUUUGGAUUCUGAACGCCUGCUGGCCUUUAUUGGCGAAGCUCGUUCGUAAAUGAUUAGCAUCUCAUAUUCGAAAAUCGGAUUGACUCAGUGUAAUAGACUAUUCGCUGAGGACGCUCUUUCGGGAGUGGCCGAGUUUUGUAAAGUAGAAGCUUCUAAUUCUAUUAGUCAACUUUAGAUUAGACCUCAGAUCAGGCAGGAUUACCCGCUGAACUUAAGCAUAUCAAUAAGCGGAGGA